UGCAUUACGUAUUAUGGUUUACCCCCUUAGUAGUACAUAGAAUGACUGCCCCAAAUAAACUAAUGUAGUAUCCAUUACCCUAAAUUCUACUGUAGUUUAAAUGAUGAUAAAAUGCUUUAUGAUAUGCGCAACCCUGAUUACCACGCAUUUAAAACUUCCUUGGAUGGCUGACCUCUCAACAAUAUUUAAAUAGUGAAGUGCAAAAGCAAACUAAUCUCUACAGUGUAUUAUUUCGUUGUCUUACAGGAUGAAAUCAGAAUCGAAUCAACUUUGCCCCCACAUUCCAAUCUCCACAGGUAAAACUUCUGGGCUGGAGGAAGAAGAACCAGGGUUAUUGAAAAUGAUUUGGGAAGGUUGCACCACGCACAAUUAACGACCUGAUAACUAUGAUGGUUGCAGCUGUCUCCAAUAGUAAACUAUAAAAUUUUUGAUUGCUUGGUGCAACCGGCCCAAAAAUUAGGAGUUAUAAUUAUACAAUACAAAUACUCUUUAUUGCACACCUCAAUACAGAAACAGUACAAAUAAUACAACACAUAAAGAAGAGGUAAACAACAGGCGGUCUUAUCGCUUUUAUUAUCAUAAUAAAUUAUGAAUAGAU